rnacentral:lncRNA from 1 species
GCUGCAGCCAAGAAGAUGGGAGCUCAGCCUCAAAUCCAUCUCCAUGACCAAGUAAAACUGCAGGCUUAUACAGCUGGGAAGAUGUGUAAGAAAUGUGUAAGAAAACAGGAACUGGGGAGGGGCAGGGAAGCAAUCAUGAGGAGUGAGAGGCCUGGCAUCUCAUUGUCUGGAUGUGGUGAUCUGGGUCUCACUCUGUUGCCCAGCCGUGGAGUGUAGUGGCACAGCCAUGGCUGACUGCAGCCUUGAACUCCUCACCUCAAGAGAUCAUCUUGCCUCAGCCUCCUGAAUAGCCAGGACCACAGGCACAUUCCACCCCACCUGGUUAAUUGUAAAAUAAGUUUUUAUAGAGAAGGAAUCUCCUGUGUUUUCCAAGCUGGUCUCAAAUCCCUGGCCUCAAGUGAUUAUCCUACCUCUGCCUUCUGAAGCACUGGAAUUACCAGCAUGGUCAUACUUCGUAAAGAGUAAACAUGAUUCAUAUGAAAAUAGGCAGCUUUCAGCAGACGGAAACACCGUUCUUGACCACAACAUCGAGAUGGGAAUUAGGAAAGGAAAAGAUGAGAAAAGGUGAAGAGGUUUGGAGAUCUUAGUUACCAUUUGCCCAGGUAAUCUCUACCUAAUUACCCACAAUGUUACCAAAACACGAGGAGCACAGUCUAGGUCCUACUGCUCGCUGCACAGAAAGACAAUGACUGAGAUGAUGAGCAUCGCCAAGGAAGAAGCUUUAAUCCGGUGCUGCAGCCAAGAAGAUGGGAGCUCAGGUCUCAAAUUCAUCUGCCCGAUUGACUAAAACUAAGAGUUUACACAGCAGGGAAGAAAUGUGACAAUGUGUAAGAAAACAGGAACUAGGAAGGGUCAAGGAAGUCAUCAUAAUGAAUGAGGGGUCCAGCAUCUCAUUAUCUGGAUGUGGUGAUCUGGUGAGUUUCAGUUCUUUGAAACCUUUUUGAGGGCCUGAAGGGCAUUUCCUGAGGAAGGAACUCAGAUAAAACAAGUGUAAGGUUCAAGCUUUGACAUAAGAAGGGUCAAUUUCUAUGUUUAUCUAAAAAAACUGUCUAUGAGACUAUGAGUCGGAUUUAAUAACAGCACACAAAACUGAAUUCAGUAUUUCCAAUGUGUUCACAUUGUGCACAGGACAGUAUUACCACCCUAAAAUAUCAUUUCAUAUUUUUGUGGCAUAGAAUCAUAAUUGUAUUUUUAAAUAGAUGUGCCUCAUCAGAAUGAGCUUAUCUUUUGUUAAUCUCUCCCAUCCUAUAUCUGUUUAGUUAAAUUUAAAGAAAAAUACAGGGUUAUCAAUUUAUUCUAACGAGUUCUUCUUGUUUGCAUAUCAAAUACAGGUUUUAUAACUAUGCUGUCUUUUUCUCAUCCAAGUUAAAACAGUCAAGACCGAAAAGGGUACAAACCUGGAGGUUCUGCUCCAGAUUGUAUGUAUCUUUGAUCAUUCUUUAAUUCAUUCAAUAAAUAUUUAUUUUGGGUGUGAAAAACUUUCAUAGCUGUUUUUUGCAGCAACGUGAAAAGCAGACUAAUAACUUAAGGAGUUUAUGGUCUAGUAACGUUAGCGAAUAAUGCCUCCUCAACUAUAACAUACAUUAUUUCUAGAGAAUGUGUCAUAUCUGUCAAUAUAAUAGACACAAUCUCUUGUAUACCACAUUGCUAAUGCUACUAAAGGAGAAGGAGUUUGGUUCAACAGGACACGUUCCCACUCAAGGUCAGAUCGUGCUCAUUUCUGUCGUAAGUUUCUCAAGUUCUCUGAUGACAUUUUCUAAUUUUUUAAAAUAAAAAGCAAUGUAAAUG